ACGGGAGGCAGCAGUGAGGAAUAUUGGUCAAUGGACGGAAGUCUGAACCAGCCAAGUCGCGUGCGGGAUGAAGGCCCUACGGGUCGUAAACCGCUUUUGUACGGGGAUAAAGUCACCCACGUGUGGGUGUUUGUAGGUACCGUAAGAAUAAGGAUCGGCUAACUCCGUGCCAGCAGCCGCGGUAAUACGGAGGAUCCGAGCGUUAUCCGGAUUUAUUGGGUUUAAAGGGUGCGCAGGCGGGCUGCUAAGUCUCCGGUGAAAUGUCAGGGCUCAACCUUGGCACUGCCGGAGAUACUGGCGGCCUUGAGAGUGGCGGAGGUAUCCGGAAUGUGUGGUGUAGCGGUGAAAUGCAUAGAUAUGACGAAGAACUCCGAUUGCGAAGGCAGCUGACUGUAGCGUAACUGACGCUGAAGCUCGAAGGUGCGGGUAUCGAACAGGAUUAGAUACCCUGGUA
rnacentral:rRNA from 1 species